CUCUAGGUGUGCCUGCUCAAGCAGGGGGGUUGGACAAGAUCAUCUCCAGAGGUCCCUUCCAACCCCUGCCAUUCUGUGAUUCUGUGUGGACUCAAAGUCUCCAGCUUGUUAAAACAAAAGCGUGCCCAAAUGUGAAGGCUCGCGUGCACUAGCAGGCAGGACAAACUCAGAAGUGACUGGAGACACACCAGACACGUGGUCAUACUCUGAGGUCAGAGCCCUUUUGUCACCCAAUUGCUAAAAGGAAGCUCCUGUAAACAGAUACAGAUCAAGCAGAUACGGCUAAUGUCAGCUUCAGGUUAAACUGCAUGCACCUGUGGAUGGGAUCCAAGAUGCACCUAAGCUUUUAAUAAAUAAUUCUUACUGAUUAUAAUGGCCUGGCAGUUGGAGAAGCCCAGGAGGGAUGCAAGGAAGAACUGGAACUGCCAGCAGUUAGAUUUUAAUCCUGCCCCCUCUGGUCAUAGAACACUUAGUCCAGUGAGUGGAUGCUCAUAGGGUAGCUGCUGUUACUGGUGGGAUACUGGUGAUGGUGAUAAUGUUCAGGCUGGCUGUGCCAGAAAAGCAUUUUGGGAUGAGACGAAGCGUUGUGCUCAGCUAAGAGGUGGUCACUGCAGCAAUGGGAGAGAGGAAAGAGAAAACAAAUACACGUAUUCAGAUUAAAGUCGCAGUUGGGUUCCUCUCACACCUUUACAUUUAGCUGCUGCCAGCAAAUUUGCUGGUGCCACUCUCUCCUGAAGAGGCCGGUAGCUGAAGUCUCGGCUGGUCCCCAUGUACUCUCCUGCUCCCCAAAACUGCUGUGCCGUUAGUUGCUGCCCAGCUGCAAGGCUUGAGUACCAGCUGAUGUGACACCAAGCAUCGCCCAGACCUCAGCAGCAUCCCUGCUGAUCUCCUCCCCACCCUCCACACUGUCAGAGCCUCGCUGAGCAGAACUGUGUGUUACGGGGCCAAGAGAAAGAGCAAUUUCAUAGCACUUUUGCCUCAGAGAGGCAUACAGCUCCCUCUUUACACAGUCCGCUCAGAGUACUUGGACAUUUUAACCUGGAAGAGAACAAGAAAAAAAGGUGGAAUAUACAACAAUCUCUUUAAGAGGCAUCCAGGUACCUCAAGGAGGGCUGACAUAACACAGACCUGCUUGUGUACAGAGACUGAUCUUUGCUCCAGCAAGGAUGAGAGAUGGAGGAGCAUCUCAAGACACAACAUACCAGAAGUCCUAGAUUUGUUCUUAAGACAGACAACUUGCUGUUGUUGAAAAUAACCACCCCGGGGGAGCUAUUUUGAACUUGAGAGUGUGGCCACAAAAGCUGCCACUACAAACCAUCAUAUCCCACGGCGACCACUGUUCCUGAUGGAAUAGAGAAGCAAAGCAGAACCAAAUCUUGUGGUCUUCCAUACAAAAGCACUGUGGAAAAGGAAAAUUUGCCUCUCUUUUUUCCUUCCAAAGGUUGACAAGACCCUUGAUGCACUACUUAUAGAAGCUUUGAGUUCCUUUUAUGGAAAGUACUAGACAGAACAUGUAGGAAAGAUGUUAUUAUUCAAACUGAAAUUAAACACUAA